ACAGCCUCGCCAGCACGUGGUAUCAUCCCUUUUAAAAUCCGAGUCAUCCCAGUGGGUGUGUCAUGGUGGCUCUGACUUCGCCUACAUGCUCUGUCAGAUGGUGGUGGGUCCUUUAAAGGUGCCCAUUUUAUAGGGAGUUGCUGAGGCCGGAGGCCAGGCAGGGACCGGCUGAGAGGUUGCAGCUGUACCGUCACCGGCUCCUUCUAGCCCAGGGAGCCAGGCGCCUGGGGUGGCUGAACGCGGGAGGUACAUGGGCGGGCGUAACUCUGAUGCCCACCUCCUCCAGGUGCCCCGUAUGCCCAUGGAUCUCUUCCCACUCACCCACCAGGUCAGAGAUCAAAUAGGAAUGAUAAUCCUACGGAUGACAGCAGUUAGCACUGAACGCUGACUGCGCCACUCCGUGCCAGCCCAUUUCAGUUUGAACUGGGUCGUCCUCAGAAUAUUAACACUCCCAUUUAGCGCGUGAGGAAACUGAGGCACUGGGAGGCCGAGUGACUCGCCCAACGUCCCAGAGUUAGGGAAGGUGGCCUCUGAGGCACAGAACCCAAACUUGGAAACACCUCGCUCGGGCUAGCCCUGGGCUGGAAGGGACUCGGGGUCGGUCCCCUGGCAGAUGGGGCUGUUGCAUGGUUUCAUUUAUACGCAAUGUCAGAAUAGGCAAAUCCGCACAGACAGAAAGUGGAUCGCGGUUUGUCAGGAGCGGGAGAGGGGUGGGACUUACUGCUGGUGGGUAUAGGGUUUCUUUCUUAGGUGAUGGAACCAGACAGAGGCCGUGGCUGCCCCACACUGUGCAUGCCACUGACAGUAUAUCACACAGGGUUAAGGUGGGAAAUUGUAUGUUUUACCACAAUGAUGAAAAGAGAGCAGCCGGGGGGCGGGGCGGGAUCUGCUCGCAGUGGGCAGAUCUGGGUCCUGGCUCUGCCUCCGACCAACUGCGUGACCUCCAGCAGGACACCCCACACCUCGGGACCUCAACUGGCGCAUCUGUAAAGUGGGCUCCGAUGCGGUCUCUGCCCCCAGGGGCUGUUUUAGGGGACGCAGGCCUCGGCGUGGGGCUUCGGGUCUCAGCGCUGCGGGUCCUUCCUGCCGUCGCCCCACUGUUUAUAUUAAAGGCGGAUCGUCGCAUGCGCCGUCUUCCCGCGCCCACGGGAGUGCAGUGACCGCAGCUUGGAUUUGCUGCCAGCGUCAUUGGGGCGGGCUGAGGGUCAGCGCGGAGCCAACACGGGGGGCAGGGCGGAUCCGAGUCUCAGGACCGAGCACCAGGGAAGCGGUCAGCGGCAUGAGGGCCACGUGGCAGGAACAGCGCACGCCAGGCGCCUCUUAGGGGCCCCGGGACCGGUCUGCCCGCGGACGCCCCGUGGCCAGCUUGCGAGCAGCGGCAGGACGGUGACAGCAUCGCUCCCUGGACUCCAUUUCUUUACCGGGCAAAGUCUGAGCCUUCGCCUCAGCUGCGCCCCCCAGAUAUGCUCCCGCUGUACCCCACGGGCCCUGGCGCCACUGACCUGCAUGAUCUUCUGCAGCUGCCUGUCGUCAUCCACCACAAAGACGUUCAUCUCUGAGCUUUCGGCGAUGACUUGGCAGACUUUCGGGGAACUGGUGGGUGAGACACCAACAGAGAAGCCUCUGGAAUCAGAACCCAAAGCUUCUUUUUAUCAGCUUUGGUUACCCGCCCUGCUCUGGCCACAGACAACAGCCGUCUCAAGACUGCACGUCCUGGACGUUCCUCCCUGUGGCCGGCCCUUGUGACAUCACUGUGGUUCUGCAGCCCGGAGCCACGAUGGCAACAUAGCCUGCUGCCCCUUUGCAGAGGUGGGUCUUGGAGGGCAGGGUUCCAUCCAAGAAGGCCCUUCUCUGUCCGCCCCAACAGCCAGUGCUUUCCAAGGUGACAGUCGCCAGGGAGGAGCCAGCAGCAAAGUCUCAGGUUUAAGUCUAGCAGCUGGAGGGGCUCCAUAGUUAACUGCCCAGCACCGUUGGCUUUGAGUGAAGGACUCCAAAAGAGAGCCUGAAAAAGAUUAGCGAGAUGGAGGAGGCCCACUCGGAGGCUGUGCCCUCAUGGCGGCCAAGAAAGUGGUGUUUCAAAGAGCAAGGCAAGGUCAGCUGAGUCACUGUGCCUGGGGUCGUGAACUCACUUGCCCGCCGGGUGCGGGCUGUAGAUAGAGUCGUCUCCCAGAUGUGUGUACAGCUACAUUUUCAAAUGUCGGAUGUUGCUGAGAUCAUCGAUAAACUGAGAAAUCAUUUAAAAGCCUCUCUAGUUCCUCAAAAAAAAAUAAACAUAAAAUUAUCAUAUGACCCAACAAUCCCAUUUCUGGGUCCACACCUAAGAGGAUCGAAAGCAGGAACUAGAAGAGAGAUUCGCACACCCAUGUUCUCAGCAGCAUCAUUCACAACGGCCAAAAGGAAACAGCCACUGCCCGUUACAGGUGAGUAGAUUCAAAAAAUGUGGUCCAUCCGGCCAGUGAAACAUUAGUCGGCCUUAAAAAGGAGAUCCUCACGUGUGCUACGACGUGGAUGACCCUUGAGGACUUUGUGCUCAGUGGAAUAAGCCGGUUACAAAAAGACAAACGUUCUUAUAUUCCACUCGUGUGAGGCACUCAAGUCAGAUUCGUAGAGGCAGAAGGCAGAAGGGCGGCCGCCAGGGGACAGGGUUUGAGGUCUUGUUUACUGUGUACAGGGUUUCCGUUUUACUAAUGUACUAAUGCCACUGAACUACGCAUUUAAAAAUGGUUAAAGUGGAAAUUUAACAUAAGAUGAUAAAUGUCGUGUUUGCCGCAACUUAAAGAAGUAAAUGUUAGGGGGGAAAAAAGCCUUUCUGGACGUGGUAGUUUCUUGUCAUUUCUUAAGAAACAGCUAUUAAGAGAACAAUGAAGCCAGGGUGAGAAUCACAGGGAAGCAUAUUUCUCUACGGAGUUUGAGUAGCUUUUGACAAUCUAAUCAACUGUUUAUAUUUCUUUGAUGAUGAAUAAAUUUCGAAAAGGAAGUGAGAAAAUAUUUGCCAAAGAGAUGCUCAUCUGUGUAAAAAGUCCGUACGUUUUGAGAAGUAGAUUGACUGUGAAGUGUCUAGAUUUAAUAUUAAUGUACAAAAAUCUAGUUUCCCAUAUAUCAGCAUUAACCACCUAGAAAAAGAGGGAAAUCACAUCCAGUUUAUGGAAACAUAAACUAGAAUUAAAUUCACUGAAAAUUGUACAAUUACAGAUAAAAUCAUUACGAUUUCCUAGAGAAAAGACAAGGAUUGAAAAAGACACCAUCUCAACGAAUGGGAACGCUCAAUAUUGUAAAAGUUAUUUUGCCGCAGAUUAAUCAAUAAAAAGCAAUUUCGAUCGAAA